rnacentral:rRNA from 1 species
CAGGACGAACGCUGGCGGCGUGCCUAACACAUGCAAGUCGAACGGAGUGAUUGGAUUCGUCUGGAUCACUUAGUGGCGGACGGGUGAGUAACGCGUGAGCAACCUGCCCUUCAGAGGGGAACAACAGUUGGAAACGACUGCUAAUACCGCAUAACAUAUAUUUGGGGCAUCUCAGAUAUAUCAAAGAUUUUAUCGCUGAGGGAUGGGCUCGCGUCUGAUUAGAUAGUUGGUGGGGUAACGGCCUACCAAGUCGACGAUCAGUAGCCGGACUGAGAGGUUGAACGGCCACAUUGGGACUGAGAUACGGCCCAGACUCCUACGGGAGGCAGCAGUGGGGAAUAUUGGGCAAUGGGGGGCCAACCCUGACCCAGCAACGCCGCGUGAAGGAAGAAGGCUUUCGGGUUGUAAACUUCUUUUAUGUGGGACGAUAGUGACGGUACCACAUGAAUAAGCCACGGCUAACUACGUGCCAGCCGCGGC